rnacentral:rRNA from 1 species
GUUAUAUGGUCAAGUGAAGAAGCGCAUACGGUGGAUGCCUUGGCAGUCAGAGGCGAUGAAAGACGUGGUAGCCUGCGAAAAGCUUCGGGGAGUCGGCAAACAGACUGUGAUCCGGAGAUGUCUGAAUGGGGGAACCCAGCCAUCAUAAGAUGGUUAUCUUGUACUGAAUACAUAGGUGCAAGAGGCGAACCAGGGGAACUGAAACAUCUAAGUACCCUGAGGAAAAGAAAUCAACCGAGAUUCCCUUAGUAGUGGCGAGCGAACGGGGACCAGCCCUUAAGUUGUAUUGAGAUUAGCGGAACGUUCUGGAAAGGACGGCCAUAGUGGGUGAUAGCCCUGUACGCGAAAAUCCCUUUGCAAUGAAAUCGAGUAGGACGGGGCACGAGAAACCUUGUCUGAAUAUGGGGGGACCAUCCUCCAAGGCUAAAUACUACUGACUGACCGAUAGUGAACCAGUACCGUGAGGGAAAGGCGAAAAGAACCGCGGAGAGCGGAGUGAAAUAGAUCCUGAAACCGUAUGCGUACAAGCAGUGGGAGCCCACUUUGUUGGGUGACUGCGUACCUUUUGUAUAAUGGGUCAGCGACUUAUUUUCAGUGGCGAGCUUAACCGAAUAGGGGAGGCGUAGCGAAAGCGAGUCUUAAUAGGGCGUCUAGUCGCUGGGAAUAGACCCGAAACCGGGCGAUCUAUCCAUGGGCAGGUUGAAGGUUGGGUAACACUAACUGGAGGACCGAACCGACUACCGUUGAAAAGUUAGCGGAUGACCUGUGGAUCGGAGUGAAAGGCUAAUCAAGCUCGGAGAUAGCUGGUUCUCCUCGAAAGCUAUUUAGGUAGCGCCUCAUGUAUCACUGUAGGGGGUAGAGCACUGUUUCGGCUAGGGGGUCAUCCCGACUUACCAAACCGAUGCAAACUCCGAAUACCUACAAGUGCCGAGCAUGGGAGACACACGGCGGGUGCUAACGUCCGUCGUGAAAAGGGAAACAACCCAGACCGUCAGCUAAGGUCCCAAAGUCAUGGUUAAGUGGGAAACGAUGUGGGAAGGCUUAGACAGCUAGGAGGUUGGCUUAGAAGCAGCCACCCUUUAAAGAAAGCGUAAUAGCUCACUAGUCGAGUCGGCCUGCGCGGAAGAUGUAACGGGGCUCAAACCAUGCACCGAAGCUACGGGUAUCAUCUUAGGAUGAUGCGGUAGAGGAGCGUUCUGUAAGCCUGUGAAGGUGAGUUGAGAAGCUUGCUGGAGGUAUCAGAAGUGCGAAUGCUGACAUGAGUAACGACAAUGGGUGUGAAAAACACCCACGCCGAAAGACCAAGGUUUCCUGCGCAACGUUAAUCGACGCAGGGUUAGUCGGUCCCUAAGGCGAGGCUGAAAAGCGUAGUCGAUGGAAAACAGGUUAAUAUUCCUGUACUUCUGGUUAUUGCGAUGGAGGGACGGAGAAGGCUAGGCCAGCCUGGCGUUGGUUGUCCAGGUUUAAGGUGGUAGGCUGAGAUCUUAGGUAAAUCCGGGAUCUUAAGGCCGAGAGCUGAUGACGAGUGUUCUUUUAGAACACGAAGUGGUUGAUGCCAUGCUUCCAAGAAAAGCUUCUAAGCUUCAGGUAACCAGGAACCGUACCCCAAACCGACACAGGUGGUUGGGUAGAGAAUACCAAGGCGCUUGAGAGAACUCGGGUGAAGGAACUAGGCAAAAUGGCACCGUAACUUCGGGAGAAGGUGCGCCGGUGGAGGUGAAGCAUUUACUGCGUAAGCCCCUGCCGGUCGAAGAUACCAGGCCGCUGCGACUGUUUAUUAAAAACACAGCACUCUGCAAACACGAAAGUGGACGUAUAGGGUGUGACGCCUGCCCGGUGCCGGAAGGUUAAUUGAUGGGGUUAGCGCAAGCGAAGCUCUUGAUCGAAGCCCCGGUAAACGGCGGCCGUAACUAUAACGGUCCUAAGGUAGCGAAAUUCCUUGUCGGGUAAGUUCCGACCUGCACGAAUGGCGUAACGAUGGCGGCGCUGUCUCCACCCGAGACUCAGUGAAAUUGAAAUCGCUGUGAAGAUGCAGUGUAUCCGCGGCUAGACGGAAAGACCCCGUGAACCUUUACUAUAGCUUUGCACUGGACUUUGAAUUUGCUUGUGUAGGAUAGGUGGGAGGCUUUGAAGCGUGGACGCCAGUCUGCGUGGAGCCAACCUUGAAAUACCACCCUGGCAACUUUGAGGUUCUAACUCAGGUCCGUUAUCCGGAUCGAGGACAGUGUAUGGUGGGUAGUUUGACUGGGGCGGUCUCCUCCUAAAGAGUAACGGAGGAGUACGAAGGUGCGCUCAGACCGGUCGGAAAUCGGUCGUAGAGUAUAAAGGCAAAAGCGCGCUUGACUGCGAGACAGACACGUCGAGCAGGUACGAAAGUAGGUCUUAGUGAUCCGGUGGUUCUGUAUGGAAGGGCCAUCGCUCAACGGAUAAAAGGUACUCCGGGGAUAACAGGCUGAUACCGCCCAAGAGUUCAUAUCGACGGCGGUGUUUGGCACCUCGAUGUCGGCUCAUCACAUCCUGGGGCUGAAGCCGGUCCCAAGGGUAUGGCUGUUCGCCAUUUAAAGUGGUACGCGAGCUGGGUUUAGAACGUCGUGAGACAGUUCGGUCCCUAUCUGCCGUGGACGUUUGAGAUUUGAGAGGGGCUGCUCCUAGUACGAGAGGACCGGAGUGGACGAACCUCUGGUGUUCCGGUUGUCACGCCAGUGGCAUUGCCGGGUAGCUAUGUUCGGAAAAGAUAACCGCUGAAAGCAUCUAAGCGGGAAACUUGCCUCAAGAUGAGAUCUCACUGGAACCUUGAGUUCCCUAAAGGGCCGUCGAAGACUACGACGUUGAUAGGUUGGGUGUGUAAGCGCUGUGAGGCGUUGAGCUAACCAAUACUAAUUGCCCGUGAGGCUUGACCAUAUAACACCCAAGCAAUU